CUGCCUGUUGGGCACCUGACUUCUAAAAUAAAAACUACCCGUCUGCGACCAAAUACGAAUUCCUUUGUGACCCACUUUAUUUCUCCUCCCCACCCCCGACCACUACGUCUGAUACUCUGGCUCAUGUGGCUGCAAACUAGUGUUCCGACCCGCUUCUCCAAGGUCGCCCUCCCUUCCACCCUCCGGCCAAACAAAAUCUCAGGACCUCACAAUAAGCAGCAGAAGAGGAAUCCACAUCUGGAAAGGGGGUAGGGGAUAAGUCCUCUGUAGCUUUAGUGGCCAAGGAGAGUGUCAUGUCCAUCUCUCCGAGGGUGGAAGUGGGUUAACCUGGAGCUCUCGGAUCCUUCUGGGAAACGGGAGACUCCGGGGGUCACCACUUGAGAAACACUCUGCCUGUUCUGCUGCCCAGCCCUGCCCUGCCCUGCCCAGCUCAGCUCAGAGCAGCUCAUUCCAAGCCAGCCCCUCUCCGCUCCCUCCCGCAGCGCAGCCUCCUCCCUAGGCUCUCCUCCCUUGGUGUCUUCCCCGCCCUCCUCCUCCACCUCCUCUCCCUUCUUCACUUCUUCCUCUUCUUCCUCCUCCUCCACCCCCGCCCUAUCAGGCUCGCCUUUGCCGGCCUGGGGAGCCGGCACAUCGCUGCUGUCAGCCAUCAAGUGGCUCGUUAAGGAAAUGCAGGUGAGUGCGUGUGGCGGAGCCGCUGCCCGCGGCUGUUGUAGGAUGUGGGGUGUGUGCGCGUGUGCGCGUGUGUGCCUGUGUCUGUGAGUGCGUGGAAGACAGCUAGCGAGCGCGAGCGAGCGAAGGCAGCGGCGAGUAAGAGAGCGGAGCGAGCGCAGCUAAGGCUCUGCCUGUGCGCGCCCCCUCGCUCUCGCUCUGGCAGCAGCCAGCGGCAGGAGAGCGCGUGGCAAGCAGCGCCUCGUUCCCUUGCUCCCUGCCUCCCUCCCAGCACUUGGACCGCGGCGCUGACUCUGCCUGAGUGUCUCGGCUGCUUCCAGCCAGGAGGCUCGCACUUGCCUCCCCCCUACCCUUCCUCCCUCCCUCCCCAGCUGACUCCAACUGCUCCUUCUCCAGCUCCUCCUCCUCCUCUUCCACCUCCCAUUCUGGAGAGGAUUACCAUCCUCAGCUGGGAGAGUGCAGUUCCUCGGGGGCCUGUGUGGAAUAAAACACAAUUCUUUAUCUGACUGUUAGGAGAGGGAAGAGAAGACUCCUCAGGGUUUCCAAAGAGGUCCGGGCUGGCUACCUUAGUAAGUAAACCGUGUUGAUUCUAUCUAUCUAUCUAUCUAUCUAUCUAUCUAUCUAUCUA
rnacentral:lncRNA from 1 species